AUGAGAAUAAAGGGAGAGAUUGCAGGUUUUUGCAACGCCGAAGGAGCAAGUAUGCGAUAUUGUGUUAUCAAAUACGAAUCUCUCAGGCAAAAAGACUUUUAUUUGACG
rnacentral:ncRNA from 2 species